rnacentral:rRNA from 1 species
UACGUAGGGUGCAAGCAUUAAUCGGAUUUAUUGGGCGUAAAGGGCGUGUAGGCGGACAUAUAAGUCAGAUGUGAAAUCCCGGAGCUCAACUCCGGAACAGCAUUUGAAACUAUAUAUCUAGAGGGUAGACGGAGAAAACGGAAUUCCACAAGUAGCGGUGAAAUGCGUAGAUAUGUGGAAGAACACCAGUGGCGAAGGCGGUUUUCUAGUUUAUACCUGACGCUGAGGCGCGAAAGCAAGGGGAGCAAACAGG